GAUGAACGCUGGCGGCGUGCCUAAUACAUGCAAGUCGAGCGAACAGACGAGGAGCUUGCUCCUCUGACGUUAGCGGCGGACGGGUGAGUAACACGUGGAUAACCUACCUAUAAGACUGGGAUAACUUCGGGAAACCGGAGCUAAUACCGGAUAAUAUAUUGAACCGCAUGGUUCAAUAGUGAAAGACGGUUUUGCUGUCACUUAUAGAUGGAUCCGCGCCGCAUUAGCUAGUUGGUAAGGUAACGGCUUACCAAGGCGACGAUGCGUAGCCGACCUGAGAGGGGAAUCGGCCACACGGGAACGGAGACACGGUCCAGACUCCUACGGAAGGCAGCAGUAGGGAAUCUUCCGCAAUGGGCGAAAGCCUGACGGAGCAACGCCGCGUGAGUUAUGAAGGUCUUCGGAUCGUAAAACUCUGUUAUUAGGGAAGAACAAAUGUGUAAGUAACUAUGCACGUCUUGACGGUACCUAAGCAGAAAGCCACGGCUAACUACGU
rnacentral:rRNA from 1 species